ensembl:lncRNA
AAUUGCUCUGUUUUGAUAUUUCGGAUUUUAUGAAUGCAAUAUUUUAAAUGGGCACAUGGCGUGACUCUUCUUCUUUAAUUAAAAAUACUUGGGGUGGAAGAGCCCACGUACAUGAAAAUGACUGAAAUGGAAAUGGGGGCUUUUAAGCUUUCUUUGAAAAAGUUCAAACACGGAGUAUGUCAAUGAAGUCCACAAUCCUCCUUUCCCCAUCUCUAGAUUUCUGGGUGUCAGCGCUUGGAGUAUUUCAGCUUUUUAUCACAGUUUAUGAUGGGAAGCUUGCUGAGAUUUUAAAAUAAAAUUCACAGAAUGGGGAAACCAUUUCACACCCAACUGUAACACCCUGCAGACAGACUGUGUUCAGUUAAAGAUGCUAAUGUUGUGAAAAACAGAUUUCUUCACCGCCUUUGACUUUUGCAAAGCAGACAGCAGUGUGGGAUUUGGAGGGAUCUGGAGUCAGGCUGCUCUUCUACAUCAUCAACAGAAUUGUUUACUGAGUUGGCUUUACAUGAAUACCUUGUUCACAUCUGCUAAUGGCCCAAAGGUAAUGGGCUUACAUCAAGCCAGAGUCUGAAGAAAGUGAUGUCUCCCAGGUGUCCCUAGGAUUUGUAAGGAGGCCAAAAAUGAGAGAAGCAGAAUCUACGGAGAAAGUGAAUGCAACUUUUCUGAAAGCUUCCAUGGAAAUUGUAGCUUUCUUCCGUCACCGUUACUGUGCCGUGAGUCCACGUUUGGAUGGUGCUGUCCCCUGGUCACUGAGCAGCUCAUCGAAGAGGGAGCAUUAAGAUGCUGUCUGUUUUGAUUAGCACCGCUGGGAAACACUCGUGAAGGUAUCGGUCUCAGACUCAGAGGAUCAUAGAGUGGUUUGGGUUGGAUGAGACUGAAAAGUCAAAAUGUGACAAAUGGAAGCUGACUGUGGUAGGAAGCUGAUUUGAUAGAAAGGUGGUAUCCCCUGAGCCGAAAAAAUCAGAGUGUAUUUCAGUCAUUUCCAUCUCCCCUUUACGGAGCCGUAACUUGAAAAGGAUGGAUAAACAGGGAAACCAGAAAGGGAGCUUGUUUGGCCAACUUUGACUGAACAACUUCUCCGCUAAAAUCAAGAGUCAGAAUGAGAUCUUUAUUCAGCACAGCCUGAAGAAAACUCCUCAUUAGCAGGAUGAGGUAAUUGCUUGGGGAUUGGGACCCCAGACAGCCGGCUUGAUGCCUCCACAAACGGCCUUUUGAAGCUUUCCAUCUUCCUCGGGAAACAUGGAACCUCUAUCUCCUUUUACUGGAGGUUUUCAGAUGAACUCCAAACAAGCUGCAAGUUGGCUCCGUGCCACGGUAUUACUAACACAAUCUGGCAGGAGGGCAAACAACCUCACAUUGAAGAAAAAAAAAAAAAAAAAAAAAAGAAGAAGAAAAAAAGAAGAAAGCCCUUGUGCUAUAACAAGUUGAUUCUGUUGGAAAAUUGCAGCCUAUUGUCCGGUGCCAAGAACAUCCAAAUCAGACUGCCUCCCAUCCAAAAGCAAAAUGAACAUAAAGCAGGCACUGGGCAGCACCACUCCAGCCUGGUCACCUGGUUUGCUUAAACCUGGGAAGAUCAUGUGUCAAACAGAUAUCGCAUCCUCAGGACAACCAUCAGAUUAAGUAUCCAGUGGCAAAUUCCACACCAAGCAGAUUUUGAGAAGGAGUUUGACAGACUUCCUUAUGAUUCAUUUUGGGACACACUGAAGUAUUGGGGUAUUCCAAGAAAAACAUUCGACAUCAGUACAUCUUGACCCAGCCUCUGUGGGUCAAGAAAAGCAGUCCCACUCCUUUUCUGUGGGUUGAAACAGAUACUAAUGUUAGAUAAGGAUGAAUUCCAUCACCCAUCCGAUGUGGCACCAAAUCCUCUAAGGGAAAGCAGAGACAGCUCUGGAGCAGAUCAUCAAAAUAAGUCAUCUUUGCUGAUGACAGCGCUCUUGAGCAACAGUUCAACUGCUCAGC